AAGGUGUGAUUUAUGGCUUUGUUUCACAACUACUCCUUGGACAGAUUUUGAAUUUACCUAGACAAUCUCUGUCAUUCAAAUUCCAACUUUAACAUUAAGCCUUGGAUUUUGAAAUUAACAACGUGCAAACACAUUGUGCAUGAUCAAUUAAACUGAACUCCACUAUUUCACAUAACUGCAGGAACUGUGAAAACCAGAACUAAACUUCGUUUCAGUCAGUUUCAAACAGAUGACCCCUACUUGAGAAGACCCGCUACCUGCUCAUACUGCUGCAACAGACUGCAUCCACUCUGGUUCUAAGAGUAAUCCUGCUGCUCCCCAUCUCCAGGUUCUUGGAAACCACACGGUGGUGGAAAGUGGGGGACACAAGUGCUCCCCAGAUCCCGACUGCCCAGCAUUACAGCAGCAGACAACUCCCUAAUACAUCCUUCCAGGAGAAGCUUUUCCAGUUAAAGCCAGCAGUAGAACCCAACCAGUAAAAGCAUACCAGGUUUCUAUGUAUGGAUUAAACUCUUUUGCUGAAAAUUCUAGCUAGAUGUAAUCUUUCCUGCACCGUGAGCUGUCAGUUCCUUGAGGGAAAACCUGGGUGAGUUUUUUUUUUUUUAACCAAGAUCAUUCAUAUUAAAACAAGGAAUAACAAUCCUUGGAGGGCCUUUGAGGGACAAGGGAGGCCAAUUCUUGAUGCGUUUUUAACAUCCAGAUAGUAAAGAGGCCACAGUGUUUUGCAGCCUGAAACUAAGACUGAGCCUAAAAUAGAACCCGAACAUCAUUUUGGUGACCCAACUAAACUAUGGGGAUUAGCUUUCUACAAGCUAAAACAUUGUGCAGGUUAGACUAGUGAUUGUUUAUUCCAGAACAGUGCAUUUGGAUGUCUCCUUACACAUGUGACUCCUUUUGUGUUUGAGCAAUGGAAAAGCUGUACUUGCUAAUAAGAAAUGAAGCAUUUGCUCACCUCUUAUCUAACUCUUAUCACUUAUCUAACCCCUUACC